rnacentral:rRNA from 1 species
GGAAUAUUGGACAAUGGGCGCAAGCCUGAUCCAGCAACGCCGCGUGGAGGAAGAAGGUUUUCGGAUCGUAAACUCCUGUCAGGUGGGACGAAAAGGCGUCGGCGAAUAGCCGGCGCUGCUGACGGUACCACCAGAGGAAGCCCCGGCUAACUCCGUGCCAGCAGCCGCGGUAAUACGGAGGGGGCUAGCGUUAUUCGGAAUUAUUGGGCGUAAAGCGCGCGUAGGCGGCUGGGUAAGUCAAAGGUGAAAUCCCUCGGCUCAACCGAGGAACUGCCUUUGAAACUACCUGGCUCGAGGCCGGGAGGGGGUAGCGGAAUUCCCAGUGUAGCGGUGAAAUGCGUAGAUAUUGGGAGGAACACCGGUGGCGAAGGCGGCUGCCUGGACCGGUUCUGACGCUGAUGCGCGAAAGCGUGGGGAGCAAAC